rnacentral:ncRNA from 1 species
GAUGGUGGAGUGAUUUGUCUUGUUAAUUCCGUUAACGAACGAGCCCUCAGCCUGCUAACUAGUUAUCCGGAGGUAUCCCUUCGCGACCAUCUUCUUAGAGGGACUACGACCUUUUAGGCCGCGGAAGUUUGAGGUAA